GCCGUCUGUGCUCUUUCCUGUCAGAACUCACUCCCAGCCACCCAAGAGCUGGCGACACAAUGUGAGGGAGCAAGAGGUGAACCCUGCUGUGUGGUCCCACUUUGGUGCAGGGAUUUGCGCAGGAAAGGAUCUGCUCAUGAAAGAGUUCCUUCCAGGGUCUCCCUGCCUCUGAAGACUGCUGGACUGGUGGAGGUCCAUUUGCUUUCUAGAAGACAGAAUUUCCAGAAGGAACUCAUCUGGUGGAUGGGGGCAUUGGUUGGUUCUCAAGGCCCUUUGCAAAGAAAGGCAAACAAUGAAAGAAUGUGAAAAAUGCUUUUGGGAGAGAGAAAAUUACACUCCUUUCAAAAUACCCGAAGGAAAGAAAGGUGCUUGUGGGUAUCUUGCGUGCAGCUACAGAACACGGAUGCUUGAGGGCUGGAAGCAUAACAACCUGAGUAACUCCGGUGACAAAUGUGCUGUUACAUGGCCUGGAGCACAGGAGCACAGGAGCACCAGCAAGUGGCAUUUCCAAAAGUCAGUGGGGGCCUGGGGACCUCUGCAGCUGCUGUGCUGAAGUGACAGGUAGGAAGUCGUGCUGUGGUCGGCUGUCACUAUCAUGCUUGGCUGCCAGACCUGCCAUUGCUGGGCUCUUAGGUCUUCAGGGGUCUCUCUAUGGAAAAUGUGUUCAGAGUCAAAUAAACCAGGAAUUUGAAACAGCUGUGAUUCUCAGCAGGGAGAAGCACUGAAAGAAGCUGUCUUGAAGACUUGUUAGGAAGCUGAAUCCAAAUUUCCAGCAGGAGCCAGAGGGGGCAUUUGGAUGCCCUUACAGGGGGUCCAUGGAUCCAAAUUAAGGCCAAAAAGGGAUAUAAGAAAACAUUCUACAGAAGAAGAGCUAGUUGGAUUCUUGUACAUACAAAAGUCAAAGUUGCUAGGAAAUGCAAAAUGCAAAGCAAAUGACAAAUCCAGACCACCCAAUUUCUAAGACAUACCUAGAGUGCAAGAAACAUUACAUAAAAUUAGAACAGCUGUCCUGUCUCAAACAGCAGGUUCACUGGGCCUAGUACUCUGAUAACAGCUUGGUUUGGGAAAAGGACCUCAAGGUUCUUAGAAUUUGUUUAACUCCCACAUUCAUCCUUCAAAGGUACAGAAAUACCUCAAAGCUUACAUACUUAAUAUUUGCAUGCUGUAGUACUGUUUUUAGUCUUUUCUGAACACUUGCCCUGGCCCUAAACUUCUCUCUAGCACUUGAUCUCGGAGUCUCUUAGCCUUAGUUUCCAGCUAUUGCUGACUUUAUUUAUUUCUUCAUUCUACAACCUCUUUUUAGCCACAACGGAGACCUAGGAUUUCACAUUUUAAUCUGUGUUCUGAUUAUACCUCAGUUUCUCCCCAUUUGUCCAGCUCUGAGCAUUCUGCUUAUGAUUUCAUAGCCCUAUAAAACCUAGAUCCAUGUUUUGUUUUUUACAGUGGGUAAACGCUAUUUUAAAUGCACUGAAGCUAGGGGUGUUUUUAUUUGUCUUCUCCCCCAGAUGUUUGGUUUCUUACUUAAGGUGCUUUAGCUCUGAAAUUACUGUAUUGGUUUGUUUAGAGACUUAAUUUGAGACAAUUUCUCAACUGGUUCCCAUUAUGAAUUUUUCUAGUGUGUGAAUGGCCCUUAGCCUUUGAAUUACCUCAGCAUUCGCUAAUCAAAUUUUUCUCUACUUUUUUGUUUUCCUAUUUUUUUUUCUCUAUGGCCUUAUCUUACACCCUCAUCACUUCUCUGAUUGACUGACACCCUUUUCAUCCUCUGCUGUGUUAGUUUUCUUACUUGCAUUGAAAUGUUUCACCAGAUCUUUCUGGCUUGCCUUACUGUAUUUUCAAGUUUAACUUGCUGGAACUUGAAUUAUUUUCUAGCUUCCUAAUCUUGACAGAUUGUGAAGGAUGUGUUUUGAUAAUUUCCUUUAUCUCAUUGCUUAACCAUGCCAAAUAUUUCUAGCCCUAUUUCCCCUCCUCCCCCCCCUCAAAGUUAAUACACAUUUGAUCUAAGUAUUUCCUGUAAUAUCUUCAAGAAAUAUCUUUAUAGCUGACACCAAAGCAGGCAAUGGCUGCACAUCCAUCUUACCUGAUGAAUGAUUUUUCUCAGUUCUACUCCUAAUCAAUCGAGUUUAUCACAAACAGGAGGAAGACAAGUAAGUAUCUUAGAUCAGUUCAGUGGAGAGGUGCCAAAGAAAUACAACUGAAAGAUACCUGUUACCUGUA